GAGCAGCUGCAGAGCCCGGCCUGACUCAGUGCUGUGCUGUGGCGUGGCUGGCUCCAGGCAGGUGGUGUGGCUGUAGUGCUGCCAGCCACCAGUGCUCCAGGUAGCACGAACUUUCUUCAGCAUGGAAAGUGCAAGUGACUUGUGUGUGAAAUCCUCCCAGUGCCAAACAAAGAUUUCCCUGGCAGUCUGUCCACAUAAGUAAGUUUUUCCCCCACCCCUGUCUAGGAACGUGCUUUCCUUUCUCUUCCAGGUCAGUUUCGUUUUCAAGCCCUGCACCAUCUGCUGGCUGGCUUCUGCCUCAUUACAGAGUCACAUGUCAGCCGAACACCAGGAACAAAGCCCUAUAGCAGAGACAUCCAAAGGAGAGGAGAAGGACAGUGGUUAGUGGAGCAUCGAUGAGGAUUCAUCAAAGAACCAUAGUUACCACACAGGAUUGGCUCAUGGGAUGAGAAACAUCGACCAGCCACGAUUUGAGAUAAAGAACUCUGAGACUGGGGUGAAGAAUCUUCCUGCCUUCCUGGGACAGUAGAUGUGGAAUGGCCUGGAGAGUGAUCAAUCUAUAGCAUGCUGUUUCCUAACCCUCCCAGACAAGACAGUCAUGUUUUGACAAAGAUGAAGCUUAGUUGUUAUUGUAGUCCCAGACCUGAAGAGCUCCGUGUAAGCUUGUCUCUCUCACCAACAGAAGUUGGUCCAGAAAAAAGGUAUUACCUCACGCACCUUGGUGCUCUGAAGAUGAAUCUUUGCAAU